rnacentral:misc_RNA from 1 species
GACCCAUAAAAAACAUAGAAAGCAUGCCCACUCUGAUUCAGGUGACAGUGAGAAAAGGAGGGAAAAGAAAUCAAAGCGAAAGCCAAAAAGAUGGUCCUCAGAGUCUAGUGAAGAUAGCAGUGAUGGUUUUGAUAGCAACUUUGAAGAAGAAAGGAGGAAGAAGAGAAACCAUAAAAGAUACAGGCAUCACCAUUCAAGAUCAGAUUCCAGUGCUUCUGAUUCUUCAAGUGAUGAUGAUGAUGAAGUGAUCAGAAGGAGAAGCCAUGCAAAGCAUCGACGACGCCACAGACGAUCACUAUCCGGUGCUUCAGAUUCUGCAAGUGAUGAGGACAAUGGUACAAUCAAGAGAAGUCAUUCAAAGCAUCACAAGCGUCACCGCAGGUCAGAGAGUACUUCAGAUUUCUCAAGUGAUGAGGACAGAAGAAGCCAUGCAAAGCAUCAUAAACAUAAUAGGCGAUCCCAUAGCAUGGACUCAAGGUCGUUUGAUUCUGAUGACCACAGGUGUGACCGAAGGAGCCAAUCUUUGGGAAGGUCAUCGGAUGACAAUGAAGGAGGCAAAAAAUCAAGCCACAGGAGACCUGGUCAUCAUCACCAUAGUCAUCACAAGAACCGGCAUCAUGAUUCCAAUGAGGAGGAGAAAAAUCAUUCACGCUCAGAUGAGGAGGAAAGGCAUCCAGCCCAGAGUCCGCAAGAAGACGAUAAAAAUCAUGCUGAGUGAUGAUUGAGAUAACUAACAUUCAUUCUCAUGAUGGGCG